rnacentral:lncRNA from 1 species
UCAAAGAUUCUUCUAGACAGACGAAGGUGGUGCUCCUUUGGUGAUCUCAGGUCCACACUUAACUUUCAUUCACAAUAGAAUAAUCACAGAUGGUGUUCUUAUAGCCUAAGAGUGAACCCAUUCUGGAAUAGAAUUUUGACUGGUGAACGUGGUAUAUUGAUAAAGUUGGACAUGGACUGUGAUAGGGUGGACUGAGAUAUUCUUCAAGAGAUUAUAGUGUGCAUGGUUUUUGGCAAUAAUUG